AUAGCUGGUUCUCCCCGAAAGCUAUUUAGGUAGCGCCUCGUGAAUUCAUCUCCGGGGGUAGAGCACUGUUUCGGCUAGGGGGCCAUCCCGGCUUACCAACCCGAUGCAAACUGCGAAUACCGGAGAAUGUUAUCACGGGAGACACACGGCGGGUGCUAACGUCCGUCGUGAAGAGGGAAACAACCCAGACCGCCAGCUAAGGUCCCAAAGUCAUGGUUAAGUGGGAAACGAUGUGGGAAGGCCCAGACAGCCAGGAUGUUGGCUUAGAAGCAGCCAUCAUUUAAAGAAAGCGUAAUAGCUCACUGGUCGAGUCGGCCUGCGCGGAAGAUGUAACGGGGCUAAACCAUGCACCGAAGCUGCGGCAGCGAACGUAUCACCCAAGACAACUUUACGGAGUUAACGAUUGACGGAGCGAAGCGACGUCAAAGCGUUCAUUAAAGUCGAGUUGGCUUAGGGAUACGUU
rnacentral:rRNA from 1 species